rnacentral:rRNA from 1 species
AAGAUUCCGGGCCCUACGGGGCGCAGCAGGCGCGAAACCUUUACACUGCACGACAGUGCGAUAGGGGGACUCCGAGUGCGGAGGCAUAGUGCCUUCGCUUUUGUACACCCUAAGGCGGUGUACGAAUAAGAGCUGGGCAAGACCGGUGCCAGCCGCCGCGGUAAUACCGGCAGCUCGAGUGAUGACCGAUCUUAUUGGGCCUAAAGCGUUCGUAGCCGGCCGAGCAAGUUCGUCGGGAAAUCUACCAGCUCAACUGGUAGGCGUCCGGCGAAAACUGCCCGGCUUGGGACAGGGAGACUCGAAGGGUACGUCCGGGGUAGGAGUGAAAUCCUGUAAUCCUGGACGGACCACCGAUGGCGAAAGCACUUCGAGAGAACUGAUCCGACGGUCAGGAACGAAAGCUGGGGUCUCGAACCGGAUUAGAUACCCGGGUAGUCCCAGCUGUAAACGAUGUUCGCUAAGUGCGACGCAGACUACGAGUCUGUGUUGUGCCGUAGGGAAGCCGAGAAGCGAACCGCCUGGGAAGUACGUCCGCAAGGAUGAAACUUAAAGGAAUUGGCGGGGGAGCACUACAACCGGAGGAGCCUGCGGUUUAAUUGGACUCAACGCCGGACAUCUCACCAGCCCCGACUGUUCGAAUGACGCUCAGUGUGAUGAGCUUAGCAGACGAUCAGAGAGGAGGUGCAUGGCCGCCGUCAGCUCGUACCGUGAGGCGUCCUGUUAAGUCAGGCAACGAGCGAGACCCGCAUCCCUAAUUGCCAGCAAGACCCACGAGGUCGUUGGGUACAUUACGGAGACUGCCGCCGCCAAGGCGGAGGAAGGAACGGGCAACGGUAGGUCAGUAUGCCCCGAAUGGGCUGGGCUACACGCGGGCUACAAUGGUCAGGACAAUGGGUUCCUACUCCGAAAGGAGACGGUAAUCUCAGAAACCUGGUCGUAGUUCGGAUUGUGGGCUGAAACUCGCCCACAUGAAGCUGGAUUCGGUAGUAAUCGCGUGUCACAAGCGCGCGGUGAA